UUGGAGGGCAAGUCUGGUGCCAGCAGCCCCUUUAAAGCCAGCUCCAAUAGCGUAUAUUAAAGUUGUUGCAGUUCAUAAGCUCGUAGUUGAAUUUCGGGGUCAGUAGGUUGGUCAUGCCACAGGUAUGUACUGAUCUUACUGAUUCCUCCUUCCUGAUGAACCGUAAUGCCAUUAAUUUGGUGUUGCGGGGAGACUGGACUGUUACUUUGAAAAAAUUAGAGUGUUUAAAGCAGGCUAACGCUUGAAUACAUUAGCAUGGAAUAAUGAAAUAGGACGUUCGAUCCUAUUUUGUUGGUUUCUAGGAUUGACGUAAUGAUUAAUAGGGAUAGUUGGGGGCAUUAGUAUUCAAUUGUCAGAGGUGAAAUUCUUGGAUUUAUUGAAGACUAACUACUGCGAAAGCAUUUGCCAAGGAUGUUUUCAUUAAUCAAGAACGAAAGUUAGGGGAUCGAAGACGAUCAGAUACCGUCGUAGUCUUAACCAUAAACUAUGCCGACUAGGGAUCGGAUGAUGUUAAUUUUUUAAUGACUCAUUCGGCGCCUUACGGGAAAC
rnacentral:rRNA from 1 species